GGGGAUUUAGCUCAGUGGUAGAGCGCUUGCCUAGGAAGCGCAAGGCCCUGGGUUCGGUCCCCCAGCUCCCCU
rnacentral:tRNA from 1 species